AUUCCACCAACUUCCCGCAUCCCAGACUAGUUUGUCUAAUUGGCAGUCUCUUAGAUGGUGGCCUGCAGGAGGAAGGAUUUUUUUUUUUUGUUUGUUUUCAGAGAAGGUGAGGGAAGGACUUUGUGUAGGCAUUUCCGGUGUGGGGAAACAGCUUGCGUAUCGCCGUUACCACAGUAACCUGACGUCAUCAUGGCGACCAAGGCGACCAAGACGACUUUUUAAGACUAGAAGGUGAUCUGGUGAGAGAAGAGCACGGCCCCGCCUCCAGCUCCUCAUAUGGCUCAUAUCAGGUGUCUAAAGAAGACAGUUUUCUGAGGAUGUGGGUCAUGAUUGCUGCUGAAGAUCUGAAGGGCAGCAGUGCUCGGGACACUCCCAACACUUCCAUCCCUGCAUAUUUCCUUGAGCUCCUGAAGGGAGAGAGCAAAUCUUCAUGCUGUGUAUUCUGGAAAUGA
rnacentral:lncRNA from 1 species